GAGAAAGAGAGAACCAGAAAGGAAGAGUGAGAAAGAACCUCAUCCCCAAAUACCCAUUUCAUCGCCUCUCUUUUAGAUCUGAGACCCUACAGCGCUCUCUCUCAAAUUCAUGUCCGCCAUCGCAACAAUAACCACCGCUGAAACCAGUUGGAACCAUCUUCCAUCGAUCUUGCAGCUAGGGUUCAACCAUCUUCCACCGCUGAAACCAGUUGCAACCAUCUUCCAUCGAUCUUGCUGCUAGGGUUCAACCAUCUUCCACCGCUGAAACCAGUAAUGAUGUUCGUACCCCAAGCAUGUGCUGCUUCAGAUGUGAAGGAUAGGUCGGGUAUUGGGUCCUAACAAAUUUUAGCCAAAACAGGAAUCGGUAGUUGGUGGUGUACAAACAAUGCUUAGAAUAGCAGAGGACAAGUUUCACGAUGGAUAUGUUAUGCAAGGAAAACUGUACAUAUGCGACCUUUGGAUGACGUUAUAAGCUCCAUCAAUGGAUGGUAUAUGGAGCGUGGCCUUUUUGCCUUGGUUUCAGGGGUUGAGUUUCAUUGUGGGGGAAUUUUGAGGUUAGGCUAACAAUAUAUCCAUAUGCUUUCUCAAUAAAACUUUAUGCUUAGGUAUUUCUAGGGCUAGCUGUUUAAGGUUCAUAUAACCUUAUGAAUCUUGAAUGACUCAAUUUGGUUAAAGUCUAUCGGGAACAAGUUAGGAAUGGCGCCUUCGACUGAAGAACGGGCCGUUGAAGCCAAGUUUAACGAGGAUGGAAAUACAGGUUUGAAGAGUCAGACUAAGUAAGAUGAUGAAACAGUUGCAGUUGUUGAAGGGGCACUGGAGUCAUUCAAGCUGCACUCGGGUUUUUCAGAUUGGAUUUUCUGAUCGAUUUUCUGUCACAUGCUGCGAUUGUGGGGUUCAUGGGAGGAGUGGUCAUUACCAUUGCGGUUCAGCAACUUAAAGGGUUGUUAGGCAGCAAAGAUUUCAAAAUAAAGAUUUCAUAGGAACACUUUAAAAAAUGGAGAUGUCGAUUAUAUUUGUUGAACAACUUACUAAACUAAAACUUGUGCUCAUAAAAUAGAAAAUGGAAAAUGGAACUGACAAGUGUCAAAACAUUAUUAUUUUAGAUUACUUGGUUUCAUGUUAUUUUGAUUUUUUAAAAAUCAUACAUCAUAUUUAUUAAUAUGUUUUAAAUUUACCUUUUAAACCCGUGUGUCACACGGGAUAUAAGCUAGUUAACCAUAAUCCAACCAGCAUAACUAAACAUGUGCAUGGGUAGUACAGUACCACUUAUGUUAUGUACAUGUAUAAAAAUUUUAACACAUCCCUAAGGCUAGUGGGUAUCGAGAGCCUCAUCCCUAAGAGGAUGAGCCGCCACAUCAGCGCCACGUAGGCUCGGCUUGGAGGGGAUGGACCUAGGGGGUGGGGGAUGAGCCCCUUUAUGUAUAUAUAUGUAUGUAUGUAUAGGUUAUUGUGAGAGAAAGGAGGCCUGUCUCCUCCGGCUGUGGGGAGCCGCUUUUGCCGAGCCCAGGGGGCGAUGUGGGGGACCGGAGCCGGUCCUAGCCGGGCCUCAGCCGGCCCCCAUACCCUUUAGUCUAACACAACCCCUUUGCCAAGUUUAAUCAUCUUGCAUCAGAACCCCUACAUUGUGAAAUAUAUAUAUAGGGUUAGAAUAAAAUGAGAAUCAGUUUAAGUUGUGAGAACUAGGCCUUUCAAAAGGUUUUUUCAAAAAAAAAUCUCAAAAAUCUUUAAAAAAAAUCACUUGU
rnacentral:lncRNA from 1 species